UUGAAACACCGGUUCUCAUCCAACCAUCUAAGUUAAGCAAUGUUGAGCCUGAUUAGUACCUAGAUGGGUCAUCACUUGGGAAUAUCAGGUGCUGUAAU